UACGUAGGGUGCAAGCGUUAAUCGGAAUUACUGGGCGUAAAGCGUGCGCAGGCGGUUUUGUAAGUUUGUCGUGAAAUCCCCGGGCUCAACCUGGGAACUGCAUUUGUGACUGCAUUGCUGGAGUGCGGCAGAGGGGGAUGGAAUUCCGCGUGUAGCAGUGAAAUGCGUAGAUAUGCGGAGGAACACCGAUGGCGAAGGCAAUCCCCUGGGCCUGCACUGACGCUCAUGCACGAAAGCGUGGGGAGCAAACAGG
rnacentral:rRNA from 1 species